rnacentral:rRNA from 1 species
CGUAAUCCGGGUUGCGGACAGUGUCUGGUGGGUAGUUUGACUGGGGCGGUCUCCUCCUAAAGAGUAACGGAGGAGCACGAAGGUUGGCUAAUCCUGGUCGGACAUCAGGAGGUUAGUGCAAUGGCAUAAGCCAGCUUGACUGCGAGCGUGACGGCGCGAGCAGGUGCGAAAGCAGGUCAUAGUGAUCCGGUGGUUCUGAAUGGAAGGGCCAUCGCUCAACGGAUAAAAGGUACUCCGGGGAUAACAGGCUGAUACCGCCCAAGAGUUCAUAUCGACGGCGGUGUUUGGCACCUCGAUGUCGGCUCAUCACAUCCUGGGGCUGAAGUAGGUCCCAAGGGUAUGGCUGUUCGCCAUUUAAAGUGGUACGCGAGCUGGGUUUAGAACGUCGUGAGACAGUUCGGUCCCUAUCUGCCGUGGGCGCUGGAGAACUGAGGGGGGCUGCUCCUAGUACGAGAGGACCGGAGUGGACGCAUCACUGGUGUUCGGGUUGUCAUGCCAAUGGCACUGCCCGGUAGCUAAAUGCGGAAGAGAUAAGUGCUGAAAGCAUCUAAGCACGAAACUUGCCCCGAGAUGAGUUCUCCCUGAGACUUAGAGUCUCCUGAAGGAACGUUGAAGACGACGACGUUGAUAGGCCGGGUGUGUAAGCGCAGCGAUGCGUUGAGCUAACCGGUACUAAUGAACCGUGAGGCUUAACCUU